rnacentral:rRNA from 1 species
CAAGGAGCUAAGGUGUUUUCCAAGAUCGAUUUGCGAUCAGGAUACCAUCAGUUGAAGAUUCGGGAGCAAGAUAUACCGAAGACGGCUUUUACCACCAGGUAUGGGCUGUAUGAGUAUACCGUUAUGUCAUUUGGUCUGACUAACGCCCCAGCAUAUUUUAUGAACAUGAUGAACAAGGUGUUUAUGGAGUUUUUGGAUAAGUUCGUCGUGGUGUUCAUUGAUGAUAUUUUGGUUUACUCGAAGAAUGAAGAGGAACAUAAGGAACACUUGCGUAUGGUACUCGAGAAGCUCAGAGAACAUCAGCUAUACGCCAAGUUCAGCAAGUGUGAGUUUUGGUUGAAAGAAGUUGGAUUUCUCAGACAUGUUAUAUCCGGAGAAGGUAUCACAGUAGACCCCACUAAAGUUGUCACUGUGACAAACUGGGAAGCACCAGCAACAGUUGGAGAAAUCCGGAGUUUCCUUGGACUCGCAGGAUACUACCGGAGAUUUAUUGAAAAUUUCUCGAAGAUUGCGAAGCCUAUGACAGAGUUGUUGAAGAAGGAUACUAAGUUCAUUUGGACUGAGGAGUGUGAGGCUAGU